rnacentral:lncRNA from 1 species
AUUCAAUGUAAUUAAUAAUGUGUAAUUUAGAGAAUUUUUUAAAAUUUAUUUUUCGAAUAGGUUUGGACAGAUACCUAGAAUGCAGGUGUUUUUCUUUGAUGUAGCUUCAAUGUUGGGAUUUUUUUUAAGGUGAAAACAAACAUCAACAAGAAAAACAACAAAUGAAAAGCACUGUGUCCAGAUGCAAUUUCGCACUAUUUUGUUAUGUUUUCACCACAUCAGAUGUGGUAGAUUUGGAAAGAAAAAAAUGUGACUUCUCGUCUGAUCGUUAAAAAUUUUUAUUCUUAGAGUCAAGAUCUCGCUCUGUCACCCAGGCUGGAGUGCAGUGGUGGGAUCAUAGCUCACUGCCACCUUGAAUUCCUGAACUCAAGCGAUCCUCCCACUUUAGCCUCCUGAGUAGCUGGGACUACAGGUGCACACCAACACUAUGCCUGGAUAAUUAAAAAAAAAAUUGUAGACACGGAAGUCUUGCUGUGUUGCUCAGGCUGGUGUUGAACUUCUGAUCUCAAGUGAUCCUCCUGUCCUGGAAUUCCAAAAUGUACUAUGAAGACUGAGUGUCUGAGAAAGUGUGCUUCCUGGACAAGUUUCUCAUCAUGAGAGAAUCUUGCUUGUAUGGUAGUCAUGGACUGUGGUCUCUGCGAUCUUCCUCCAAAAAAGGAGUUGUCAUUUCACUUCAAGGAGGGCAGUUAGCUGACAGCUUGUAAUACGGCACCUUCAGGAUCAACUGCAGCUUUUGAGCUGAGUUCAUGCUCCUUUCACACAGGACUAUGCAGUGCCUGAGCGUGGCAGAGGCACUAGGGCCUGGUGUUUUCUGCCCAAGGCUGGGCCCUCUAAUGGGCACUUUUUGCACUGGAGCUCCCUGUUGGCUUGGCUAUAGCUUGUCAGAUCUACAUUGCAGUAGGAGGGUCUCCUUGCCAAAUUCUGCUUUUCCCUUUUUUUUUGAGGUGGAGACUCACUCUGUCCCCCAGGCUGGAGUGCAGUGGCACCUGCAAUCCCAGCACUUUGGGAGUCCAAGGCAGGCAUUAGCCCCCCUCCAGUGAGCCUCCCUCAUGCACCCUGCAGAUUCUGGGCUCCCUCCAAUUCCUCAAAGCCUCAAGAGGUGGAUCCCUCCUUUCUACGGAGAGCCAGCUUUCCCACUGCAUGGGGAGGCACUGCAGAGUUCUCAAUCUUGCAACAAUCACAGAGCCCACCUCUGGAGGUGCCCCACCUUUUCUCCUGGCUACGAAGCCAAAACUAAAGUUAAGUCACAGCUUACUUGAGAUGUGCUAAGCCUGUUGAAGAUGAUAUGCCAAGGAGCCUGUAAGAAAACCAUUUGUGCUGGAGGAAACCAUGGCAGUUCCCAUGGACUGGAUUUUGAGGGUGCCUGAUUAAGGUGUCCAGACAUAAGAUGGGGAUGCUCUCAAUAUAUGGGAUUUAACACCAGGGAAGAACAAAAACUUCUUGAGAGAAUGGCUCCUAGAAGUCUGGAAAACAAGCUGGCCCCCAUGCUGGGUGAAGAUCCAAAGUUCAAUGGCUAUGGCAGAUGGUAGAAGAAAGGACUAAAAGGCUCAGCACAGAGGCUAUGCUGGAGAGGGUGUAAGAUUUGAGGCCAGGGGACCCACCAGAAGAUUAUGUUCCUCAGCAAGGCCCAGACGACUCAGCAUUCCCAGGGCUGCUGCACAUGUGCUGAUGAGACAGGCACCUGCAUCUUUAACUUUUGUGAAAGUUCUGUUCUGCAGUGGGGAUGAUGGUGUCUCAAAGCAAUAGACAUCAGGCAGUAACACGUAACCACCAGCAUCCAGGAGCAAUUUGUAAUGAUUGAGAAGAUCACAGUGACGAGGAAGAUGGACAGACCCACGGAGAAUUGUGGAGAUCAUUUAUACAAUGAAAUAGGAACAGUUUUCUAAGGGAUGAAAUAGGUAGGCAGUGAAUAAUGGUACUGCCUAAUACAUGUAAUCAAAAUAACAAAUUCCACACAACUAGGAUUAUUUCUGUGAUCUACAGUCUGUCCAUUCUGAGUGGGACCUGGAGCAGGAAGAGGGUCUGCCCCAGGUGCAGGCUGCGUUCAGGCAUCCCUGCCAUGUGCACCAUGUGUCGGCGGUGGAAAGUGAUGCAGAGAUGAGGUCAUGACAGUGGGGGAUUCUCAGUGCAGAGCCCUGGGGUUCUGCAACAAAGAGAAGCCAUUUGCAAUGAAGAACUGUGCAUCAUCAUCCCACUGUACCCUGGGAGGGAAGGAGUGUUUGAGAAUAAGUGACCAUGCAUCCAGGCCUUCUAUUAUGAGCUGGAUUCUGCCAGAGUCAUCAGUUCAUCAAGCCAGACAAGCAUCAUAAUAAUCUAUCACAAAAUGGAAAUGGAACAGCUGAGAUUGAGCCCAAGCAGAACCAGAGGGCAUGAGUACGCGGCAUGAUAGCCUUGUGUCCCUCGCUCAAUUCACACUGAUGGCCCUAUGGGGGUCCCAUAAAACAAACUGAGGGAAGGAAAAUAAAUUACCAAAGUUGAUCAACAGGUAGAUUAUCUCAGUAUAGCAGUCCAAGCUAAAAUGGACAGCUGGCUGCAUUGUAGCCAUAGUCAAGGGUAGCCUUGAAAGAUAGUGGUGACAUAAGACCUUCCCAAUGAGACGGCUUUACGUGAUGCACUUGAUCAUGCACUUUAUGUAGCAGGGAGAAUGGCCUGAGCAAAGACUAUGUAAAUAUUCAUGGGCAGUGACUACAAAUAACACUGGACUGGCUGGGCAGGGGCUGAAUGGCCUGGCCUAGCUAGGCAGGGUCUGUUAUAGAAAAAGACUGGAAGAUCACAAAGAGGCAAGAAGAAAAGUGAAGAUAUCCCUUACAGCCACACUCCGGAAUAAUCUAUAAGAAGGGAAAAGGUGAAAUUGACUCAAGAAAUGCUGAUGGAUGCAGGACCUAAGGUGGUGGGGGCUGGGAAGAUCAGUCACAAAAUCUCAGAUAAUAGAACCCAAAAGACAUCACUAUUUGAAGGAGACCAAGAAAUAGCAAGAACACUCACACCGGAAAAAAAUCAAUCACUGUAAUAUGUCUAUUGCAAUAAAAUUGAACUACCUUACAAAUGUUUUGAGAAUUAAGGGUAAAUUCUAAAAUACUUCUACGUGUUAGAAAGAAUAAAUGGAAACCAGGAACAGAAAACCAAACACUGCAUAUUCUCACUCAUAAGUGGGAGUUGAACAAUGAAAACACAUGGACACAGGGAGGGGAACAUCACACACCAGUGCCUGUCAGAGGCGGUGGGGAGAGGGGAGGGAGAGCAUUAGGACAAAUACCUAGUGCAUGCGGGGCUUAAAACCUAGAUGAUGGGUUGAUAGGCACAACAAACCACCAAGACACAUGUAUACCUAUGUAAUAAACCUGCACAUUCAGAACAGGUAUCCCAGAACUUAAAGUAAAAUGAAAUAAUAAAUA